UACGUAGGGCGCAAGCGUUAUCCGAAAUUACUGGGCGUAAAGGGUUCGUAGGUGGUUCUUUAAGUUUUGUUCUAAAGCCCUCGGCUCAACCGAGGAAAAGAGCAGAAGACUGAAGAACUAGAGCAAGGGAGAGGCUACUGGAACUUACCGUGUAGGGGUGAAAUCCGUGGAUACGGUAAGGAACGCCAAAGGCGAAGGCAGGUAGCUAUAACUUCGCUGACACUGAUGAACUAAAGCCAGGGGAGCAAACCGGAUUAGAUACCCUCGUA
rnacentral:rRNA from 1 species